rnacentral:rRNA from 1 species
UACAGAGGUCCCAAGCGUUGUUCGGAUUCAUUGGGCGUAAAGGGUGCGUAGGCGGUGGGGUAAGUUGGAUGUGAAAUCUUGAGGCUUAACCUCAAAAUUGCAUUCAAUACUGCUCCGCUCGAGCGCUGUAGAGGAGAUUGGAAUUUACGGUGUAGCAGUGAAAUGCGUAGAUAUCGUAAGGAACGCCAGUGGCGAAAGCGAAUCUCUGGGCAGCAGCUGACGCUGAGGCACGAAGGCCAGGGGAGCAAACGGG